rnacentral:rRNA from 1 species
GACGAACGCUGGCGGCGUGCUUAACACAUGCAAGUCGAACGGAAAGGCCCUGCUUUUGUGGGGUGCUCGAGUGGCGAACGGGUGAGUAACACGUGAGUAACCUGCCCUUGACUUUGGGAUAACUUCAGGAAACUGGGGCUAAUACCGGAUAGGAGCUCCUGCUGCAUGGUGGGGGUUGGAAAGUUUCGGCGGUUGGGGAUGGACUCGCGGCUUAUCAGCUUGUUGGUGGGGUAGUGGCUUACCAAGGCUUUGCCGGGUAGCCGGCCUGAGAGGGUGACCGGCCACAUUGGGACUGAAAUACGGCCCAUACUCCUACGGGAGGCAGCAGUGGGGAAUAUUGCACUAUGGGCGGAAGCCUGAUGCAGCAACGCCGCGUGCGGGAUGACGGCCUUCGGGUUGUAAACCGCUUUCGCCUGUGACGAAGCGUGAGUGACGGUAAUGGGUAUAGAAGCACCGGCUAACUACGUG